rnacentral:rRNA from 1 species
AGCAGUCAUGCAGGCAAAACCGCAUGAAAAAUGUAAAGCGUUAUGUGGAUCGAACAUUAGUAGAGAAGCGUGUGAGCCAGCUGCCAAGAAAAGCCGCUAUUGUUUCAUAAGUACCCGUACCAUAAACCGACACAGGUGGAUGAGGAGAGAAUCCUAAGGCCGGCGGGAGAAGUGUUGUUAAGGAACUCGGCAAAAUGACUCCGUAACUUCGGGAGAAGGAGUGCCACAGAGAUGUGGCCGCAGAGAAAUGGCCCAAGCAACUGUUUAGCAAAAACACAGGUCUAUGCAAAACCGAAAGGUGAGGUAUAUGGGCUGACGCCUGCCCGGUGCUGGAAGGUUAAGAGGAGAGGUUAGAGCAAUCGAAGCUUUGAAUUUAAGCCCCAGUAAACGGCGGCCGUAACUAUAACGGUCCUAAGGUAGCGAAAUUCCUUGUCGGGUAAGUUCCGACCCGCACGAAAGGCGUAAUGAUUUGGGCACUGUCUCAACAACACACCCGGUGAAAUUGAAAUACCAGUGAAGAUGCUGGUUACCUGCGCCAGGACGGAAAGACCCCAUGGAGCUUUACUCCAGUUUGAUACUGGGAUUCGGUACUGUCUGUACAGGAUAGGUGGGAGGCUAGGAAAUGGUGACGCCAGUUGCCAUGGAGCCAACCUUGGGAUACCACCCUUACAGUACUGGGUUUCUAACCUGCAGCCGUAACCCGGCUGGGGGACAAUGUCUGACGGGGAGUUUGACUGGGGCGGUCGCCUCCGAAAGAGUAUCGGAGGCGCUCAAAGGUUCCCUCAGAACGGUUGGAAACCGUUCGAAGAGUGCAAAGGCAGAAGGGAGCUUGACUGCGACACCGACGGGUGGAGCAGAUACGAAAGUAGGACUCAGUGAUCCGGUGGUAUAAAUUGGGAUUGCCAUCGCUCAACGGAUAAAAGCUACCCCCUGGAUAACAGGCUUAUCACUCCCAAGAGUUCACAUCGACGGAGUGGUUUGGCACCUCGAUGUCGGCUCAUCGCAUCCUGGAGCUGUAGCAGGUUCCAAGGGUUGGGCUGUUCGCCCAUUAAAGCGGUACGCGAGCUGGGUUCAGAACGUCGUGAGACAGUUCGGUCCCUAUCCGGCGUGGGCGUAGGAUAUUUGAGAGGAGCUGUCCUUAGUACGAGAGGACCGGGAUGGACAAACCUCUGGUGUAUCUGUUGUUUUACCAAAGGCAUGGCAGAGUAGCCAAGUUUGGCAGGGACAAACGCUGAAGGCAUCUAAGCGUGAAGCCCCCCUCAAGAUAAGAUAUCCCAUCUUCGGAGUAAGACCCCUUGAAGACUACAAGGUUGAUAGGCUUCAGGUGUAAGUGUGGUAACGCACUCAGCUGAGAAGUACUAAUAGGUCGAGGACUUACCAA